CCAUGGAAAAGUGGGAUGUUUAUUAACAUGGUGAUGAGAUGUUCACCAUUUUACCAUUUUCAGCGUGCAAGAGACAUAUAUCUCAAAGAUUAGGACCUGCAGAGGAAAAGAUUACCCAGCAGCAGCAAUGCUAAUAAAAUCAGAGAGUUUAUAAAGAACGCAUAUGUGGACAGAAAAUAUGUCAGACGAGAAACAUCUGACAAGCUUCCUAUAGACAUGCAGAGCCCUAGUAAUCAUGGAGAUACUAUAAGGCGUCCAAGUUCUUAUCACUCGUAUUCUGAAAGUCCACCUUAUGACUAUCAAUAUGAAAAUCGGCGUUACGGAAAACAAGUUGCUGCCAUGUUUCCUAGGA